rnacentral:rRNA from 1 species
UACGGAGGGUGCGAGCGUUGUCCGGAUUCAUUGGGCGUAAAGAGCUCGUAGGCGGUUCGGCAAGUCGGGUGUGAAAACUCCAGGCUCAACCUGGAGACGCCACCCGAUACUGCUGUGACUUGAGUCCGGUAGGGGACCACGGAAUUCCUGGUGUAGCGGUGAAAUGCGCAGAUAUCAGGAGGAACACCGGUGGCGAAGGCGGUGGUCUGGGCCGGCACUGACGCUGAGGAGCGAAAGCGUGGGGAGCGAACAGG